CUACGUGCCAGCAGCCGCGGUAAUACGUAGGUGGCAAGCGUUGUCCGGAAUUAUUGGGCGUAAAGCGCGCGCAGGCGGAUUGGUCAGUCUGUCUUAAAAGUUCGGGGCUUAACCCCGUGAUGGGAUGGAAACUGCCAAUCUAGAGUAUCGGAGAGGAAAGUGGAAUUCCUAGUGUAGCGGUGAAAUGCGUAGAUAUUAGGAAGAACACCAGUGGCGAAGGCGACUUUCUGGACGAAAACUGACGCUGAGGCGCGAAAGCCAGGGGAGCGAACGGGAUUAGAUACCCCGGUAGUCCUGGCCGUAAACGAUGGGUACUAGGUGUAGGAGGUAUCGACCCCUUCUGUGCCGGAGUUAACGCAAUAAGUACCCCGCCUGGGGAGUACGACCGCAAGGUUGAAACUCAAAGGAAUUGACGGGGGCCCGCACAAGCGGUGGAGUAUGUGGUUUAAUUCGACGCAACGCGAAGAACCUUACCAGGUCUUGACAUUGAUGUGGACAGAACUAGAGAUAG
rnacentral:rRNA from 1 species